UUCUCAAAGGAAUUGACGGGGGCCCCCACAAGGGGUGGACCAUGUGAGUUUCAUUCGAAGCAACGGGAAGAACCUUACCGGGUCCUGACAUCCUCUGACACCCCUAGAGAUAGGGUUUUCCCUUCGGGGACGGAGUGACAGGUGGUGCAUGGUUGUCCUCCGCUCGUGGCGGGAGAUGUUGGGUUAAGUCCCGCAACGAGCGCAACCCUUGAUCUUAGUUGCCUGUAUUUAGUGGGACACUCUAAGGUGACUGCCGGUGACAAACCGGAGGAAGGGGGGGAUGACGUCAAAUCCUCGUGCCCCUUAUGACCUGGGCUACACACGUGCUACAAUGGACAGAACAAAGGGCUGCGAGACCGCAAGGUUUAGCCAAUCCCAUAAAUCUGUUCUCAGUUCGGAUCGCAGUCUGCAACUCCACUGCGUGAAGCUGGAAUCGUUAGUAAUCCCGGAUAAACAAGCCGGGGUGAUUAUUUUUGCGGCUCUAUGAAAAAACAUCCGAG
rnacentral:rRNA from 1 species